rnacentral:rRNA from 1 species
AUUGAACGCUGGCGGCAUGCUUUACACAUGCAAGUCGAACGGCAGCGCGGGCUUCGGCCUGGCGGCGAGUGGCGAACGGGUGAGUAAUACAUCGGAACGUGCCCAGUAGUGGGGGAUAGCUCGGCGAAAGCCGGAUUAAUACCGCAUACGACCUGAGGGUGAAAGCGGGGGAUCUUCGGACCUCGCGCUAUUGGAGCGGCCGAUGGCAGAUUAGCUAGUUGGUGGGGUAAAGGCCUACCAAGGCGACGAUCUGUAGCUGGUCUGAGAGGACGACCAGCCACACUGGGACUGAGACACGGCCCAGACUCCUACGGGAGGCAGCAGUGGGGGAUUUUGGACAAUGGGCGAAAGCCUGAUCCAGCAAUGCCGCGUGUGUGAUGAAGGCCUUCGGGUUGUAAAGCACUUUUGGCGGGAACGAAAAGGACUGUGCCAAUACCACGGUUCGAUGACGGUACCCGCAGAAUAAGCACCGGCUAACUACGUG